rnacentral:rRNA from 1 species
GACGAACGCUGGCGGCGUGCUUAACACAUGCAAGUCGAACGGAAAGGCCCGGCUUUUGUGGGGUGCUCGUUUGGCGAACAGGGGAGUAACACGUGAGUAAACUGUCCUUGACUUUGGGGUAACUUCUGGAAACUGCGGCUCAUACCGCAUAGGAGCUCCUGCUGCAUGGUGGGGGAUGGAAAGAUUCGGCGGUUGUGGCUUUACUCGCGGCUUAUCAGCUUGUUAGUGGAGUAGUGGCUUGCCGAGGUUUUGACGGGUAGCCGGCCUGAGCGGGUGACCGGCCACCCUGGGACUGAGGUGCGGCACAGGUUGCUACGCGAGGGAGCAGUGGGGAAUACUGCAGGAGGGGCGCAGGGCUGGUGAAGCAGCGCCGCGUGCCGGAAGACGGUCUUCUGGGUGUAAACCACUUGCGUCUGUGACGAAGCGUGAGUGACGGUAAUGGGUUAAGAAGCCCCCGCUAACUACGUG